rnacentral:rRNA from 1 species
GGGUCUACCCAUUGGUCAUGCCUCUGGUAUGUACUGGUCUCACUGAUUCCUCCUUCCUGAUGAACCUUAAUGCCAUUAAUUUGGUGUUUUGGGGAAUUUGGACUGUUACUUUGAAAAAAUUAGAGUGUUUAAAGCAAGCUAACGCUUGAAUACAUUAGCAUGGAAUAAUGAAAUAGGACGUUCGAUCCUAUUUUGUUGGUUUCUAGGAUUGACGUA